UGGGAAUCUUCCGCAAUGGGCGAAAGCUUGACGGAGCAACGCCGCGUGAGUGAUGAAGGUCUUCGGAUCGUAAAACUCUGUUAUUAGGGAAGAACAAAUGUGUAAGUAACUAUGCACGUCUUGACGGUACCUAAUCAGAAAGCCACGGCUAACUACGUGCCAGCAGCCGCGGUAAUACGUAGGUGGCAAGCGUUAUCCGGAAUUAUUGGGCGUAAAGCGCGCGUAGGCGGUUUUUUAAGUCUGAUGUGAAAGCCCACGGCUCAACCGUGGAGGGCCAUUGGAAACUGGAAAACUUGAGUGCAGAAGAGGAAAGUGGAAUUCCAUGUGUAGCGGUGAAAUGCGCAGAGAUAUGGAGGAACACCAGUGGCGAAGGCGACUUUCUGGUCUGUAACUGACGCUGAUGUGCGAAAGCGUGGGGAUCAAACAGG
rnacentral:rRNA from 1 species